AAAAAAGGAAAAAAAAAAAAGAAAGAAGGAAAAUCACAGGUAAAUAAGAGAUACACUAUGUACAUGAUACCUUUAUUAGAUUCAUAAACCACAAACAGUGUAAUCAGAAACACUUAUUGUAAUAACUUUUGUAAAAAUAAUACAUUUGUACAAUAUGACAAUGUAAGUUGUACUUGAAAUGAUAUAGAUGUGUUAUAACAACAAAUGAACCUUAAACAGGAAUAUUGUUUACAUAUAAAAUUAUUGCCUUAGUUUUAUACAUUUAUUUCAUGUAAAAAUCAACCCAUGAACAAAUAUUAUUUCAUUAUUAUAUUUUUAAAAAGGAAAUAAAACUUUAUCAUUAAAAAAAAAUUAAUGUAAAAAACUCCU